UGCAAGUCGAACGGCAGCGGGCCCGCAAGGGUGCCGGCGAGUGGCGCACGGGUGAGUAAUGCAUCGGAACGUGUCCUGAAGUGGGGGAUAACCCAGCGAAAGUUGGGCUAAUACCGCAUAUUGAGGAGACUCGAAAGCGGGGGACCGCAAGGCCUCGCGCUUGGGGAGCGGCCGAUGCCCGAUUAGCUAGUUGGUGGGGUAAGAGCCCACCAAGGCGACGAUCGGUAGCUGGUCUGAGAGGAUGAUCAGCCACACUGGGACUGAGACACGGCCCAGACUCCUACGGGAGGCAGCAGUGGGGAAUUUUGGACAAUGGGGGCAACCCUGAUCCAGCCAUGCCGCGUGAGUGAAGAAGGCCUUCGGGUUGUAAAGCUCUUUCGGUGGGGAAAGACGAUCCCGGACGAACACUCCGGGUGAGGGAUGGUACCCGCAGAAGAAGCACCGGCUAACUACGUGCCAGCAGCCGCGGUAAUACGUAGGGUGCGAGCGUUAAUCGGAAUUACUGGGCGUAAAGCGUGCGCAGGCGGUCAUUUAAGUCUGCUGUGAAAGCCCCGGGCUCAACCUGGGAAUUGCGGUGAAAACUGGAUGGCUGGAGUGUGGCAGAGGGGGGUGGAAUUCCACGUGUAGCAGCGAAAUGCGUAGAGAUGUGGAGGAACACCGAUGGCGAAGGCAGCUCCUCUGGGCUAACACUGACGCUCAC
rnacentral:rRNA from 1 species